CCGAUGUUCUCCACUUCACGUCCUCCUUCCCAUUCCCUCGGGCAUGGGUUCUAGCAACCACACUGCUGGAUGGCAAUGGGCCAUUUAAUCUUCGGUACCCAAUAUAUUUGGAUUUUGGGAUGAAUUUGCAUUGGGGAGUUUGCUAUUUCUUUUGAAUUCCGGUAAGAUAUGAUUAUCAUACUUGUCUUCAACAAAAAUUAUGACCUUUUUUUAGUUAUUUAAAUUGUUAUUUGUUGCAUUUCAGAAUUUGUCUGUAAUAAAAAUAUAAAAGUUAUAUUUUGGAAACCAUCAAAUAUAAUCCCUACAAAUAAAUCAAUACAUAAAUGUCUUUUUACUUUUUCAAAAUUAGGGGGAUGAACAGUUAAUUAAGCUUGGAGGCCUUGCAGGAAAGGCCCUGAUAGCACUCGUACCGAUCUCUCCUCACAAUCUACAUUAUGAUUUAUUAAUCUGCAUAAUUUUACAUCAAAACAGUCAAAAGAGCAUCAAUUUCUUUUUCUUUUGUGAAUUAAAAAAAGGAGCAUCGAUAUAAAGGAGUCAAAGUAGUAGCAUUGUAAUUCAAAAAGAAAACACUAGUAUUAUUAUUCUAGUUAAAGCUUGUCCCUUUUUCUUCCACCAUAUUAUUUUAGUACCAACCUAAUGCUAAUGGCCAACAAAAACUCCAAGCACAUUAGCACAAAAGCAUUGCAUCUUCCUGUCGAUCACUCAGAAAUCCAUCAAAACAAUUAGCCUCCUCUAACCCACAACUCAUUUCAUUCUUCUGUCCUCAUCUAUCAAAUAUUUUGAUCACUAAAUCAUGGGAAAUUUGUGCUCAGUCUCAAUCUCAAUGGAGGACACUAUCUCUCGUUGCUGGGACUUCGUUGCUGGACAAGCAAGUUACACAUCCAAGCUUGAAGCUAAUCUUAAAGCUCUGAGUGUGGAAGCGGCCAAACUGAAAGCUCGAAGGGAUGACGUGAACCAGAGGCUAGAUCUUGCUGAACAACAACGUAUGAAACCGCUUAACGAAGUUCAACUCUGGCUUUCAAGUGUGCAGACUGCGGAAGCAGAAGCUGAGGUGUUGAUCAAAGAUGGUCCUCAACAAAUUCAGAAAUUAUGUGUUGCUGGCUGCUUCUCCAAGAAUUGUAAGUCUAGCUACAACUUUGGUAAACAAGUGAGUAGAAAACUUGCAGAAAUAGUUGAUCUAAAGAAUGCAGGAGUUUUUGAAAGUAUAGCUGAGAAUGAACUUGCAGUCCAAGUGGAUGUAAGACCCGCCGGAUCCACGGUGGGUUUGGAACGGAUAUUUGAUAAAGUCUGGUGCUUACUUGAACAAAACGAUGUGGGUAUUAUUGGUUUACAUGGCUUGGGAGGAGUUGGUAAAACAACACUCUUGACCCAAAUUAACAAUAAGUUAAGCAAUGAGCUAAUCGGUUAUGAUGUUGUAAUUUGGGUGGUGGUGUCUAAAGAUCACAACAUCGAAACAGUUCAAGAAAAAAUUGGUGAAAACCUUGGCCUUUCACGUGGUGAGACAUGGAAGAAUAAAAGUUUUGAUAAGAAAGCUGUAGAAAUUUGGAGAGUUUUGAGCAGAAAAAAGUUUGUUCUGCUGUUGGAUGAUGUGUGGGAGCGGGUGGAUUUGAUCAAAGUUGGAAUACCUGAACCGGAUCAGAAAAAUGGUUCUAAAUUAAUUUUUACAACUCGCUCCUUAGACGUAUGUGGACAAAUGGGAGCUCAUAAGGUUAUCAAAGUAGAGUGUUUAAGCCAAGAUGACGCUUGGAAAUUGUUUGAAGAGAAGGUUGGGGAAGAAACCCUUGACAGCCAUCCAGAUAUUCGAGAGUUGGCUAAACAAGUUGCUGAUGAGUGCGCAGGACUACCUCUUGCACUGAUUACAAUUGGUCGUGCCAUGGCUUACAAGACAAUGCCUAAACAUUGGGAAUAUGCAAUUAUGGUAUUGAAAGAGUUUCCGCAUAAAUUAGCAAGCAUGGAUAAAGAGGUGUAUAUUCUUUUAAAAUUUAGUUAUGAUAGCUUACCUAACGACACUAUGAGAUCUUGCCUUUUGUACUGUAGUUUGUAUUCCGAAGAUUUUGCAAUUCUCAUUGAUGAGCUGAAAGAUUAUUGGUUUUAUGAGGGAUUUUUGAAUGAAUUUGACAACAUAAUUGAUGCUCGAAUGCAAGGUGAGGACAUUAUCAAUUCUCUUCUUAGUGCUUGUUUAUUAGAAAGAUGUGAAUACACUACAAAAUAUGUAAAGAUGCAUGAUGUGAUCCGCGACAUGGCUUUAUGGAUAGCACAUGAGUGUGAAGCACCUGAGAAGAGAUUUUUUGUUAGAACAUCAACUAAGGCACCUGAUGUUGAAAAGUUGGAAAAUUGGGAAGGUGUAAGAAUGUCAUUGAUGAAAAGUCAAAUUACAGAGUUACGAGGAACACCUAAAUGCCCUAAUCUUCAAACUUUAUUUCUCAAGGAUAACAAGUUGCAGGUGAUUAGUGAUGGUUUCUUCCAAUUUAUGCGCAACCUGAGAGUUCUAAACUUGUCAUCAAACCAAAAUCUGCAUGAGUUGCCACUGGGAAUUUCAGAAUUGGUUUCACUAGAGUGCCUCGAUCUACGAUGGACAUGCAUAUUGGAGUUGCCAAGUCAGCUGAGUAAGUUGUCAAAACUGAAAUAUUUGGACUUGAGGGGGACCACCGGUCUCGUUAAAAUCCCACGAGAAUUGAUAUGUAAAUUUUCAAUGAUGCAAAUAUUCAAAAUUUUUUUACACAAUCAUGUGGGGAUUGAUAUAGACAGUUUAAUAGAGGAAUUGAAAUGCUUGCAACAUUUGAAUGUGCUGUGGAUAGAAAUACGCACUGAUUAUGCUCUUGAAAGCCUUUUGAGCUGCCACCACUUACGAGGAUGCACUGAAGGACUACACCUUCGAGGUUGGUGGAAGACAAAGGUAUUGAGUGUUUUGUUUUUAGAAAAUAUGGAGCGUUUGGAGAACCUAGAAAUUAAGAAUUUUGAUAGCAUAGAAGAGAUGGUAGCAAGGAAUAUAGAGAAGGAAUUAGGGGAAAGAAGAAUGAUACAAACCUCCUUGCUCUUUCCCACUAAUAGUAAUACUAUCACUCCUCGCUUUCAGGCACUGAGCAAGAUUUCAAUAAACAGUUGUCCAAAGUUGAAGAACCUGACUUGGCUUAUUUUUGCUCCAAAUCUGACGCAGCUUAAGGUACGUUCGUGCCUAAGAAUGGAAGAAAUAAUAAGUGAAGUGAGUGAAGUUGCAAAUGUGGUUGGAAUUUCGAAUCCAAGCCCAUUUGCUAAGCUAGAAAGGCUUCAUUUAGAACAUCUACCUGAUUUGAAGAGCAUAUACUGGGAUGCCCUACCCUUCCCAUGCUUGAGAGAAAUCCGAGUAUCAAGCUGCCCAAAACUGAAGAAGCUUCCGCUCAACUGUGACAGUGCAAAGGGCAAUCAAAUCAACAUUGCUGGAACUGAAAAGUGGUGGACAGAGGUUCAAUGGAAGGAUGAAGUCACUCGAUCUACUUUUUUACCCUCUUUCAAACUUCGAUCAUGAUGGAAAGAGCUAGACAUCCUAUUCUAAUCUAAAGACCGCAAAGGAAAGGUGUGUGAUAUUUCAGAAGUAAUUUUUCCUUUAUUUUUCUCUCUUAUAUGAUCAUUGUCUUCAAAGGUGAGAUGGCAUGCUAACUGUUUGAUAUAAUAAGGUCUCUAAAAUUCCUAUCCUAAUAGUAUUUAAUUUAUCCAUCAAUCAUUCUAAUAUUCUUACAACUACAAUAAUCGCUUCUAUUUCUUGUGUUCCUUUGCUAAUUUUAAAAGUUUAACUAUCUCCAACACUACUCACAAUAACACCAAAAUCUUCAAAUUUUCUAUUGAACUAAGAAUAAUGCAAUAUCUUCAAUGAAAUGAUGUGGUAUAGAAAUUGAAUUUUGAAGGGCGAGUACUUGGGAAUAGAUUCUUUCAUGAUGCACAAUCGUCUGCUUGAUCCGGUUUGCAUAAAUGACAUUGGAAAAUUCAAGAUUAAUGCUCUUAAUACAAAAUAAUUGGUACAUUUAUGCUACACACCAAAUACAGUAUAUAAGGCUAAUGCAUCAUAAUUAUGUAAGGUUGUCAGACAUGAACUGAAUUUCCAAACAAUUCAAAUGAUAUAGAAGAAAAGAAAAACAACCUUCUGCAUUAAUAAAGGCUUCAACAUUCUGGUUUACAAUGUUAAUUCAUCCCAUAUGGCAACUAUAAAUUUUCCUUGCUUCGAAGGACCCAGUAAUCUUCAAUUCUUCAUCGUCUUCAUUACAUGUACAGCAAACACAACACAUUUGGGAACAACAACAGAAGCACUAAUAAAUUUUUCUGCACGUUUGCUUUUCUUCUUAUUCUUUGGGCAAAGACUGGUGCCUGGACAAGUCAAUCAGCCUGAUGAUAGCUUCAUGUAUUUUGAAAUCAACAUUGAAAGAAAGGAGGGAUGCUGGAAAGAGAAAGGAUGGGAUGAUUUAGGUCUAAUAAAUUUCUGGAGUUAGAAAAAAAUGAAGAACUUAUCACAAAGCAUUGUUGCAUUUUUCUUUUCUCUUUUCAAUUUUAGUUUGCCUUGGACCUUCAAGAUUGUAAUUUGUAUGCUCUAUUUGUGUGGUUGUCUUGUUUAUAUCAUAUCCUGAACUUGAUUUGUUUGGUGAAAUUUUUAUUUAUAUCUAUCAUUUGAUGUUUCUCAACUAAAAAGAGAAAAGGUUAGACCUGUUUUCUUGUAAAUUGCUGCUUGCUGCAUUUUAGUUCUUGUUGUGAGGUAUGUCAUCUAAAUCAUCACUGCUUGCCGCAGUUGGUAUGGUGAAUGUCAGAUGCUGACUAAUGUCAAGGCUUGUUUUAGAAAUUUUGGGAUCACAAAUGGUGAUCAUGUUCUGUUAUGUUGAAUACUUUUGUUUAGUUUUAUGGAGGUUGUGAAUUUUUACAAUUUGGAAGAUUGGACUGAACCAUAGCUAAAACCUUGUAUGUUCUUAUUGUCAUGGGUUAAUUACAUUUAGCAUUCAAACUAUCGAUUUGAUAUCUAAAGUUUAAAGAUUUGCAAUCUAGUAUUAUUUUUGUUAAGCUGAUUGCAGUUUGAACUAAUAACAUUAGUUGUAUGAUAAAUACACUUUUUGUCUACAUGAAACAGUUUGUUUUAUUAGCUGAAUUACAAAACAAAGAGAAAGGAAUGGCAAAUGAAUGGAUAUCUAGUAAUACAGGCAUAUCAUUUGGGUUCAUAACAUAAAGUCGCACCCUGCAGUGGCUGUUUCGAGCAUUGCACUUGUCAGCUGCUAAGUUCAACCUCAAAAGGAAUGCUGCAGCAUCUGUGAACCUGAGGACUAGAAAUCCAUUAAUAAUGCCUACUCAUAUAAGGUUUGCUUACAUAUGCAAACAAUGUAUUCGCCUAUAAACAGAUUUUCCAACUUUACAGGCAGUUCAACACAUACAACAGCAAUCUUAUGUGUGGUCAUGAGUCCAGUGCCAAAACAUGGGCAUUACUUGCAAUCUGAGAGUUCUAAACUUGUCUUCAAACAAGAGUCUCCAUGUGGUGUCAGAGGGAACUUUAGAGUUGGUUUGACUAGAGUAACUCCAUCUACAAGGGACAAACAUAACAUAGUUGCCAAUUCAGUUUUAUAGAUCGUCAAAACUGCAAUAUUUGGACUUGAGGAGGACAUCGAUCUCUAUAAAAUCCCAUGACAAUUGAUAUGUAAAUUUUCGAAGUUGCAAAUAUUCAAAAUGUAUCCAAUCAAUGGAGGUAUUGACGGUUUAAUACAGAAAUUGAAAUGCCUGCAACAUUUGAAUGUGCUAUGUAUAGAAAUAAAAACUGUUUUGGCUCUUGAAAGCCUUUUAAUACUGUGUGUAAUCAGGCAUUGUAAAUGUCAUACUAACACUAAUCACAAUUGAACACAAAUGAAGAAGUUAAAAGCAAUGGAAACUAGGUGUGCUUGGUCUUACUCUUUGGGAGUUCCUUUCCUUUUGCUCAAAAAGAUAAAAUGGAAUCUGAAGCUUACAAUAUCCUAUUCCUAUAAUUUUUCAACCAAGAUCAGAAGGCUCUUUAAUUUUAUCUUUUCUAUUCUUUUAGGGUUUCAGGUAUUCGGACCUACUUGACUGGAUAUGUAGAAUUCCAAUGGAUUUGAGACAAGUUUAGAUAAAGAGUUCACAACCCGUUUUGAAUUUAGGUAAGAUACCAUAUCAUCUCUAAAAAUAUUAUGAGUGCUUUUAGUUAUUAAAUUAUUAGUUUAUUCACUUUAAACAUUUAUUUAUUGUUAAUUAUGAAUGAAUUUUAAUUUUAUAAUUAUAAAUAAAUUGCAAAUAUCAAAUGGGGUGUGAAUUUUCUUUCUUACUUGGAUUAGGUUUGGGUCAAUUAAUCAGGUAUAGAUGAACCAGAUAAAUUUAAAAAAUUGAACAUUUAAUUUAAUAGGUUCGAAUAUAUAAAGGAUAUUAUUUCUCUAAUUUGAGUAAGAUUCAGUUAUUAAUAACUUUUAAAUGAUAAUAAAGUAUUUACAAGAUUCAAAUAUUUAGAUAAAUGAUAGGAUUCGGAAGUGGACAUGGCGUGGAGUGAUUGGAUUUGGCCAGAAUCUAUGUAACUAUGUAUAGUACUAAUAAAGUAAAAGUAAAAGUGUAAAACCAAUCCACCCGCAUUUGCUGUCCUUGUGAAGCUUUCUCUAAUGCUAACUUUGCUUUCUCAUAAUCUCUUGCAACUCGAAAUCCAUUGGCUACAAGUAGCAUGAGCAUCAAUGAAGAAAGCCCCCCAAAAGCAUGGUAAUCACAUAGUAAGAAUCCAAAAAUAAAUAAAAAAACCCCCCAUUUUUUAGAUAAAAUCUUAAAGUUUGAAUAAUGGGUUAGAUAGCAUUAACAGCUUGCUCAUACAAAACAGUAGUACUUUUCCGAUCAGCACUCCACCUUGUAAGACUCAGCUUUGUUCUACACAUACAGACAGAGGAAAAAGAAAAGUUGGGUCAGGCUGAUUAAUUGGUUUUGUCCCCAAACUAAUUUGAUAAUUCAACACUACAAGGGAUGGGAUCGGAUAUCAAAUAAACAAAUUGAAAUCGAAGAAUCUUAAGUGGCAAUUUACAACACAUUCUUCUACAAAUAUACAAGUAAGAUAUUUGUAAAGAGAGGGGAGAGAAGCUUACAGCUUCUCUGCUUUGGAGAUGAGCCUGUUGGGAUCGGAAGUGGACAUGGCGUCGGAGUGAUUGGAAUUGGCCGGAAUCUAUGUAUGUAGAGUACUACUGAAGUAACACUGCAAAAGUGUAAAGCCAAUCCGCCCGCCUCUACUCUCUGAAGUAACUUUGGCUUCAAACUUUUGGAUUAGCUUUGGAUUUAGAAUUUGGGGGUUGGCCCCGAUGCUUCAUCCCCUCCUUCCCUUCCCAUCCCUUCCCAUUCAGGCAUGGGUUCGGGUAUCCAUUUCGAAUUCGGGUACGAUACGAGUAUGGUCUUCAAAAGAGUGCUUCUAGUUGCCUAUUGAUUUUGAAAAUUUGUUUGUUGUUAAUUAUGAGCGAAUUUUACUUUUUAUUUUAAUUUUAAUAUUCAUUUCAUUAACUAUUUUUAAUUAUUAAUAUAUUGCAAAUAUGUAAAUUUCUUUCUUGCUUAGGUUGGGUUUGAAAAUGGAAUAUUUAACAAGUUUGGAUAUUUGAAGAGUAUUAUUGAUCUAAUUUGGGUAAGAUUCAAUUUGUAAUUUUUAAAUAUGAAUAAAAUAUUUAUAAAAUUUGAAUAUAUAGUUGAAUGAUAAUAUUUAGAUAUGGAUAAUUAAAAAAUAAGUGAUACUUUAUCCGAUGUAUUGGUUGAAAGUUAUAAAUUACAUAUAAAAUUAUACAAUUGUAAUAUUAAUUAAAAAAAUUAACAUAAAAUUCCAUGGAAAGUUAUUUCAUAUAUGUAAUCAUGCGUGUGUAUUAAUAAAAGAACAAAAAAAUGUAUUUUUAUAUAUUAUAUUAUAUUACAUUAGUUGGAAAAAAUGAAGUUACUAAAAUUACAUAAAAAUGAAAUGAGUUAAUAAAAGGAUAUAAAAUAAAAAGACUAAUUAAUUAUUUGUAUUCAUUAUAAUACAAAAUUUGAAUUUAUUUCUCAUUGUAAUACGUUAAACAAGUUAAAAUGUUUAUAAGUUGGACCAAAUUGUAUAUACUAUAGCUUUCUUUUUUGUUUUCUUUAAUUAAGAUUCAAUGUCAUCUGAAUAAUGUAUGAUCUCUACUUAAAAAGCAUAUUCGAAUUCUCUUUUCUCAAGUUAAAAAAAAAAACCCAAAACCUAACCGAGAGAAUAGCUUAACCUCCAAAGACCAACGAUUAGGAAGAAGAGGAUGAAAUUUCUCUCCCACUUCUUAAAAGGUUGGCUCCUUCCAAGAUUCACCCUGCAAUGUUUAUAAAGCUGAUACCACAAGGAGAAAAAUGUUGAAGGCCUCCACACUUGCUCUGAAAUUCUGUUUCUUGAUGUUCUGUCAUUGGAGUCCAUCACUUACCAGGACUAGUUGAAUGUAAAUUGUUGUCUAUCUGUUCUGUAGUUUUAUGGUAAUAAUGGUCUAAAAAUUUCAAUGGCAGUUCGAGUUGUUAGUCAAUCUGUCUAACAUUAUCUUACUAGAUAUCUUGUCUGUAAUGCAACAUACAUAUAGUCAAAAAAGAAAAUAGUGGUAUUAUUAUUCUAGUUAAAAGCUUGUCCUAGAUUGAAAGCAAUGUGUUCAUUGAUAAUUCAAUCUAAAUUAUUUUAGCACCAACCAAUCACCAGUGCUAAUGGCCGACUAAACCUCUCAAUAAAUUGGCACAAAAGCGUUGCAUCUUCCUCUCAAUCACUCAGAUAUUCAUCAAAAUAAUUAGUCUCCUCAGACCCAUAAUUCAUUUCAUUCUUCUUUCUUCAUCUAUCAAAUAUUUUGAUCACUAAAUCAUGGGAUAUUUCUGCUCAAUCUCAAUCUCAACCUCAACGGAUCUCUGCUUGCUGGGAUUGCAUUGCUGGGCAAGCAAGUUACGCAUGUGGCAUUAUUCAUCUUAAAAUUAAGAUGGAGACAGAAAUCUUCAAAUUUUCUAUUGAACAAAUAAUAAUGCUAUAUUUCCAAUGAAAUGAUGUGGCAUAGAAAUAGAAUUUUGAAGGACAAGUACUUGGGAAUGGAUUCUUUUAUGAUGCACAAUCUUCUAACUUGAAAAGGAGUCCUUUAGUGGUGUCUAGCGACUACGGUGGUGAACGAGAAUGCUGCUGUAAAUUAAGAUGAGGGAAUGGCUGUGCUUUAAAAUGAAGAUUCACAAUAGAAUGUGGUUUUCUAGAAAACUUUUACAAAUAAAUUCAGUACUUGUUAGUAUGGCUAUGUAGGCUGGAGUGGGUGAAGACCAAUAGAAAGAGAUGUAAGAAGAAUAUGAUCAAUGAUAUAUAAUGUGUGUGAGGGGGUUAACAUUAACCCAUGCGCUUAGAAGUUUCUGGUUAGCUGCUGCAUAUGCUUAGGGGGCGGUGUUUCACGGGGAUAUAAUCUGUAGCUUUUUUUUUUUAAUUGAGGGAAGGGGACUCGAAUCAUGUUUUUUAAAUAGAGAGAUCAUACACUAACUAAUGAACCAAAUGUUCAAGUAUAUAUGAUCUACAGUUUUGCUUUUCUAACCGUUCAUGACAGUAAAGUUUAUUAGAUGGAUGAUUGUGCAGGAGGAUGUUGUUCGGACUACAAUCCUUGUGAUCAUUCUUGUGUGUUUUUGGAGUGUGAGGAAUUGACACUAACAUUAGAGAUGUUGUCUACAUGGCUGAGAAAACAGGUCAUAAAAUAUUUCAAACUUCCUGAGAAAAAAAAUGUUAAGAAACUAGGAUUAAUCACGUCUGCUUGGUCUGGUUUACAUAAAUGACAUGGGAGAAUGCAAGAAUGCUUUUUAUACAAAAUAAUUGGUACAUUUAUGCUAUACACCAAAUACAAUAUUUAAGGUUAAUGCAAUCUAAUUAUGUAAGAUUGUCAGACAUGAAUUGAAUUUCCAAAAAUUCAUAUGUUAUAGAAGAAAUGAAAAAACAGCCCUCUGCAUUAUUUAAAGGCUUCGACAUUGUGGUUUACAAUGUUAAUUCAUCCAGUAUGGCAACUAGUAAAUUUUCCUUGCUUGGAAGGACCCAGUAAUCUUUAAUUCCUCAUCAUCUUCAUUACACGUAUAGCAAACACAACAUAUUUGAGAACAACUGUAGAAGCACUAAUAAAUUUUUCUGUACAUUUGCCUGUGUCCUUAUUCUUUGGGCAGAGACUGGUGCAUGAACAAUUUAGUCAGUUUGAUGAUAGCUACAUGUAUUUUGAAAUCAACAUUGAAACAAAGGAGGGAUAUGCUGGAAAGAGCUAGCAUGGGAGGAUUUAGGUCUAAUAAAUUUCUGGUGCGUGGACAAGUCAUGUUGGAUGUUCUGAAAACUCCCAUCUUUGUUUGUUCAUAUGGGUUAUGGUUCUGAAGACUCCCAUGUAAGCAUGUAGCCUAAUUUCCUGUACACAUGAAAAUUUAAUGUAAUUUUUGGAUACGAUAUGUCUAAAAAAAAAUAUAAGUGUUUUUUAGUUAUUUAAAUGAUAGUUUAUUCAUUUUAAAAAUUUGAUUGUUAGUUUUUAUGUUGUUUUUUAGUGAAUUUAAAAUUUUGUUUGUUGUUAAUUAUGAGUGAACUUGAAUUUUAAUUUUAAUAUUUAUUUGAUUUUAUAUUUUGAAUUAUUGAUAAGUUACAUAUAUUGAUGUGACAUAAAUUUCAUGGGUUGGGUUUGGGUUGAUUAAUUGAAUAUCCAUGAACUAAAGAGAUUUGAAGUAUCAAGACUUAACAAGUUCGGAUAUUUAAAGAGGAUUACUUAUCUAAUUUGUGUAAGAUUCAAAUGGUAACUUUCAAAUAUUAAUAAAGUAUUUAUAGGGUUCGAGUAUUUAGGUAAAUUAUAAGAUUCGGAUAUGAAUAAUUAAAAAAUAACUAGUAUCUUAUUUGUUAUUAUUCCUAAACCUCACCUCCUUAAUUCAUAAAUGUUUUUAAAAUAAAAUUAAAUAAAUGGAAUAAACAUGAACUUAUUUGGACUUACAUUUUCAAUUCAUCCACUUCUAAUAUAUUUGGAUUUGUUUGUAUUGCGGUAAUUGUAUUGGUUAUAAAUUACAAAAUAAAAAUCAAACAGAAAGCAAUUUAAGAUGAAUUUGAGUAAUUUUGUAUAUUUCAUCAUAUGUAUAUUAAUAAAAAUUAAAAAAAUAAAAAAAAAUCCAUAUUACUCAUAUUUAAUGACAAUAAAAUUAUGUAAAAACCAAAUUAGUUAAUAAAAGUAUAUUAAAAUAAAUGACUAAACAUUUAUCCUGAUUUAUUACAAAUUAAAAUUUGAAUAUCUAUAACAUUUUGGGGCUUCUUCGCUUAACCACAUGUAGACUUUAGUGAGUGCUUAGAAAGAGUAAACAACAUUUCUUAAAAAAAGCUGGACGAACUGCAUGCUAAGUGUCUUAUAUUUGAUCAAUCUGUGUGCAAUGUGGGUCAUACUCUAAUAAUUCUAAUAAUAAACCAGACAAAGCUGAGUCUACCAGAUUUCUCUUCUUUAAAUCUAAGCCCCAACCUAGCUUGGUCCGCCCAUUCAAAUAAAAUCCAAGAGCAUAACUCUAUCUCCGAUCGUUACGAAGCAAAAGACGAAACUCCAAGAGGUCAAGUAAGCUCAAUUCUUGUGAGGAUGGCUCUUUCAUGCACCAGAUUGUGGGGUGCUUUGACAAAGUUCAAUCUAAAUUUUUUUAGUAUUAAUCAACAAUUCUAAUGCUAAUGGUCGAUAAAAACUAUAUGUCAAUGCAUUAGUCAGUAUUAUUAGUUGUAUCUUCCUUGAUCACUCAGGAAAUCAUCAAAACAAUUAGUCUCCUCAAACCCACAAUUCAUUUCAUUCUUCUUUCUUCAUCUAUCAGAUAAUUUGAUCAUGGGAAAUUUGUGCUCAGUCUCAAUCUCAACGGAGGGCACUGUCUCUCGUUGCUGGGAUUCCAUUGUUGGACAAGCAAGUUACACAUGCAAGCUUGAAGAUAAUCUUAAAGCUCUGAGUGUGGAAGGGGCUAAACUGAAAGCUCGAAGGGAUGAAGUGAACCGGAGGCUAGAUCUUGCUGAACAACAACAUAUGAAGCCGCUCAACAAAGUUCAACUCUGGCUUUCAAAUGUGCAGACUGCAGAAGCAGAAGCUGAGGUGUUGAUCAAAGAUGGUACUCAACAAAUUCAGAAAUUAUGUUUUGCUGGCUGCUUCUCCAAGAAUUGUAAGUCUAGCUACAACUUUGCUAAGCAAGUGAGUAGAAAACUUGCAGAAAUAGUUGAUCUAAAGAAUGCAGGAGUUUUUGAAAGGGUAGCUGAGAAUGAACUUGCAGUCCAAGUGGAUGUAAGACCUGCCGGAUCCACGGUGGGUUUGGAACGGACAUUUGAUAAAGUCUGGCGCUUACUUGAACAAAAUAAGGUGGGUAGUAUUGGUUUACAUGGCUUGGGAGGAGUUGGUAAAACAACACUCUUGACCCAAAUUAACAAUAAGUUAAGCAAUGAGCUAAUUGGUUAUGAUGUUGUAAUUUGGGUGGUGGUGUCUAAAGAUCACAACAUCGCAACAGUUCAAGAAAAAAUUGGUGAAAAGGUUGGCCUUUCACAUGGUGUGACAUGGAAGAAUAAAAGUUUUGAUGAGAAAGCUGCAGAAAUUUGGAGAGUUUUGAGCAGAAAAAAGUUUGUUCUGCUGUUGGAUGAUAUGUGGGAGCGGGUGGAUUUGAUCAAAGUUGGAAUACCUGAACCGGAUCAGAAAAAUGGUUCUAAAUUAAUUUUUACAACUCGCUCCUUAGAUGUAUGUGGACAAAUGGGUGCUCAUAAUGUUAUCAAAGUAGAGUGUUUAAGCAAAGAUGAAGCUUGGAAAUUGUUUGAAGAGAAGGUUGGAGAAGAAACCCUUGACAGCCAUCCAGAUAUUCGAGAGCUGGCUAAACAAGUUGCUGAUGAGUGUGAAGGACUACCUCUUGCACUGAUUACAAUUGGUCGUGCCAUGGCUUACAAGACAAUGCCUAAACAUUGGGAAUAUGCAAUUAAGGUAUUGAAAGAGUUUCCACAUAAAUUAGCAAGCAUGGAUAAAGAGCUGUAUGCUCUUUUAAAAUUUAGUUAUGAUAGCUUGCCUAAGGAUACGAUGAAAUCUUGCCUUUUAUACUGUAAUUUGUAUCCCGAAGAUUUUGCAAUUCCCAUUGAUGAGCUGAAAGAUUAUUGGUUUUGUGAGGGAUUUUUGGAUGAAUUUGACAACAUAAUUGAUGCUCAAAUGCAAGGGGAGGACAUUAUCGAUUCUCUUCUUAAUGUUUGUUUAUUAGAAAGAUGUGAAGAUUUUGCAGAAUGUGUAAAGAUGCAUGAUGUGAUUCGUGACAUGGCUUUGUAGAUAGCAUGUGAGUGUGAAGCUCUCGAGAAAAGAUUUUUUGUACGAACCGGGGUAGGAUCAAUUAAGACACCUGAUGUUGAAAAUUGAGAAGGUGUAAGAAUGUCAUUGAUGUAUAAUUCAAUUCAAGGUUUACAAGAUACACCUACAUGCCCUAAUCUUCAAACUUUAUUUCUCAACCAGAACAGUUUGAAGGUGAUUAGUAAUGGUUUCUUCCAAUUUAUGCGCAAUCUGAGAGUUCUAAACUUCUCAUCAAACUACGAACUCCAUAAUUUGCCACAAGGAAUUUCAGAACUGGUUUCACUAGAAUGCCUCGAUCUACAUGAGACAAACAUAUUUGGGUUACCAAUUCAGCUGAAUAAGUUGUCAAAACUGAAAUAUUUGGACUUGAGAGCAACAUACAAUCUCUGUCAAAUCCCACAACAAUUGAUACGUAAAUUUUCAAUGUUGCAAAUAUUCAAAAUUUCUAAGCCAAUUUUGACGUGGUUGGAAUGAUGAAGAGUAAGAAUGUCCUACGUGGCGGUGGUGAAAGUUUAAUGGAGGAAUUGAAAUGCUCGCAACAUUUGAAUGUGCUGUGGAUAGGCAUACGCAGUGAUUCUGCUCUUGAAAGCCUUUUGAGCUACCACAAAUUGCGAGGAUGCACUGAGGGACUAUGUCUUCAAGGUUUGUCGCAAACAAAGGUAUUCAGUGUUUUGUUUUUAGAAAAUAUGGAGCGUUUAGAGUACCUAGAAAUUACGCAGUGUGGUAGAAUAGAAGAGAUGGUAGCAAGGAAUACAGAGAAGGAAUUAGGGGAAAGAAGCAUGAUACAAACCUCCUCGCUGUUUCCCACUAAUAGUAAUACUAUCACUCCUCGCUUUCAUGCACUGAGCAAGAUUGAAAUACGCAGUUGUCCCAAGUUGAGGAAUUUGAAAUGGCUUAUUUUUGCUCCAAAUCUGACAAAGCUUCAGGUAUCUAGGUGCCCAAAAAUAGAAGAAAUAAUAAAUGAAGCGGGUGAAGUUGCAAAUGUGGUUGGAAUUUCGAAUCUAGGCCCAUUUGCUAAGCUAGAAAGGCUUCAUUUAGAAACUCUACUUGAAUUGAAGAGCAUAUACUGGGAUGCCCUACCCUUCCCCAUGCUUGAGAGGAAUCAUAGUAUACAACUGCCCAAAACCGAAGAAGCUUCCGCUCAACUGUGACAGUGCAAAGGGAAGUCAAAUCAGAAUUGCAGGAAGUGAAGAUUGGUGGAAAGAGGUUCAAUGGAAGGAUGAAGUCACUCGAUCUACUUUUCUACCCUCUUUCAAUCUUCUACCAUAUUGAAAGAGCUAGACUGGAAAGAUGAAGCUAAUCCAAAUGCUUUUGAUAUCCUAUUCUAAAGACCGCAGAGGAAAGGUGCGUGAUAUUUCAGAAGUAAUUUUUCCUUUAUUUUUCUCUCUUAUAUUAUCAUUAUCUUCAAAGGUGAGAUGGCAUGCUAACUGUUUGAUAUAAUAAGGUCUCUGAAAUUCCUAUCCUAGUACUAUUUAAUUUAUUCAUUAAUCAUUCUAAUCUUCUUACAACUACCAUAAUCACUUCUAUUUCUUAUGUUUCUUUACUAAUUUUAAAAGUUUAACUAUCUCCAACACGACUUACAAUAUGAACAAAAUCUUCAAAUUUUCUAUUGAACAAAGAAUAAUGCAAUAUCUUCAACGAAAUGAUGUGGUAUAGAAAUAGAAUUUUGAAGGGCUAAUACUUGGGAAUAGAUUCUUUUAUGAUGCACAAUCGUCUGCUUGAUCUGGUUUACAAAAAUGACAUUAGAAAAUUCAAGAUUAAUGCUCUUAAUACAAAAUAAUUGGUACAUUUAUGCUACACACCAAAUACAGUAUUUAAGGCUAAUGCAUCAUAAUUAUGUAAGGUUGUCAAACAUGAACAGAAUUGAAUUUCCAAACAAUUCAAAUGUUAUAGAAGAAAAGAAAAGCAACCUUCUGCAUUAAUAAAGGCUUCAACAUUCUGGUUUACAAUGUUAAUUCAUCCAGGAUGGCAACUAUAAAUUUUCCUUGGUUGGAAGAACCAAGUAAUCUUCAAUUCUUCAUCGUCUUCAUUACAUGUACAGCAAAGACAACAUAUUUGGGAAGAACUACAAAAGCACUAAUAAAUUUUUCUGCACGUUUGCAUGUCUUCUUAUUCUUUGGGCAGAGACUGGUGCGUGGACAAGUCAAUCUGCCUGAUGAUAGCUACAUGUAUUUUGAAAUCAACAUUGAAAGAAAGAAAGGAUGCCGGAAAGAGAGAGGAUGGGACGAUUUAGGUCUAAUAAAUUUCUGGAGUUCGAAAACAAUGAAGAACUUAUCACAAAGUAUUGUUGCUUUUUCUUUUCUUUUUUCAAUUUUAGUUUGCCUUGGACCUUCGAGAUUGUAAUUUGUAUGCUCUAUUUUGUGUGGUUGUCUUGUUUAUAUCAUAUCCUAAACCUGAUUUGUUUGGUGAAAUUUGUAUUUAUAUCUAUCAUUUGAUAUUUCUCAACUAAAAUGAAACAAGAUUAGACCUGUUUUCUUGUAAAUUGCUGCUUGCUGCAUUUUAGUUCUUGUCGUGAGGUAUGUCAUCUAAAUCAUCACUGCUUGCUGCAUUUGGUAUGGUGAAUGUCAGAAGCUGACUAAUGACACGGCUCGUUUUAGAAAUUUUGGGAUCACAAAUGGUGAUCAUGCUUUGUUAUGUUGAAUACUUUUGUUUAGUUUUAUGGAACUUGUGAACUUUAAUAAUAGCAGUGUUUUUACAAUUUGGAAGAUUGGACUGAACCAUAGCUAAAAUGUUAUAUGUUCUUAUUGUCAUGGCUUAAUUACAUUUAGCAUUCGAACUAUCAAUUUGAUAUCUAAAGUUUAAAGAUUUGCAAUCUAGUAUUAUUUUUGUUAAGCAAUUUGCAGUUUUAACUAAUAACAUUAGUUGUAUGAUAAAUACACUUUUUGUCUACAUUAAACAGUUUGUUUUAUCAGCUGAAUUACAAAACAAAGAGAAAGGAAUGGCAAAUGAAUGGAUAUCUAGUAAUACAGGCAAAUGAUUUGGGUUCAUAACAUAAAGUCGCACCUUGCAUUGGCUGUUUCGAGCAUUGCACUUGUCAGCUGCUAAGGCGAAUCUCAAAAGGAAAGCUGCAGCAUCUGUUUACCUGAGGACAACAAAACCAUUAAUAAUGCCUACUCAUAUAUGGUUUGCUUACAUAUGCAAACAAGGUAAUUGCCUAUAAACAGAUUUUUCAAAUUUACUGGCAGUUCAACACAUACAACAGCAAUCUUACGAGCGGUAUGAGUAAAGUGCCAAAACAUGGGCACUUGCUCGUGAAACCAAGAUCAAAAGGAAGUACUUACUGGACCCAACAACUAAACAAAGGCCAAAAUUGGCUUGACAAAUGACAUCACAGUUCACAAGCUUCAGUCUACUCAACUUGAACUCCCUUGUUCUAGACAUGAGGCUAGCAUCUCUUGUCCUCUCGAAGCUUUCUCGAAUGCCAACUUUUCUUUCUCAUAAUCUUUUGCAACUCGAAAUUUAUUCCCUACAAGUACCAUGAGCAUCAAUGAAGAAAGGUCCCCAAAAGCAUGGCAAUUACAUAGAAACAAUCCCCAAAAAAAAAACCCAUAUUUUUUUAUAAAAUCUUAGAGGUUGAAUAAUGGGUAGAUAGCAUUACCAGCUUGCUCAUGCAAAACAGUAGCACUUUUCCAAUUAGCACUCCACCUUGUAAGACUCAGCUUUGUUCUGCACAUACAAACAGUGUCAAUAAAAUGUUGGGUGACGCUGAUUAAUUGAUUUUGCCUCAAAUCAAUUUGUUAAAUUAACACUACAAGGGAACAAAUUUACAACACAGUCUUCUACUAAUGUAUAAGUAAGAUUUUUGUAGAGAGAGGGGAGAGAGGAGGAGGCUUACAGCGUAUCGGCAUUGGAGAUGAGCUUGUUGGGUCGGUCCCGAUGUUCUCCACUUCACCUCCUCCUUCCCAUUCCCUCAGGUAUGGCUUCUAGCAACCCCACUGCUGGAUGGCAAAGGGCCAUUUAAUCUUCGGUACCCAAUAUAUGUGGAUUUUGGGAUGAAUUUGCAUUAGGGAGCUUGCUAUUUCUUUUGAAUUCCGGUAAGAUAUGAGUAUCAUACUUGUUUUUAACAAAAAUAAUGACUUUUUUUUAGUUAUUUAAAUUGUUAUUUGUUGUAUUUUAGAAUUGUUUGUAAUAAAAAUAUAAAAGUUAUAUUUUGGUAACCAUCAAAUAUAAUCCCUAAAAAUUAAUCAUUACAUAAAUGUCUUUUUACUUUUUCAAAAUUACAUAAUAAAAAUAAAAUAGAACUCAAUUUAAAAUGGUUUUGAGUAAUUUUAUGUAUGUUAAUUUCAUCGCGUGUAUUAAUAAUAAAACAAAAAAAAAUCUAUGUUACUUAUAUAUAAGGACAAUAUGAAAUUAUUAACUAAAUUACAUAAAAAUCGAAUGAGUUAAUAAAAAUAUAAAUAUACAACACUAAUCAGUUAUCAUUAUUCAUUACAAAUUAAAAUUUGAAUCUAAUUCUAAUAAUACGUGAAAUGAGUAGAGAUGUUCAUAAAUCACAUCAAACUGUGUGUACCAGAAGAAGAGCAGGAAAUUCCUCUCCCAAAGGCCAAGUUAGCUCACCUGUUGAAAGGGAUGGCUCUCAUACACCAGGUUGUGGGGUGGUGGGGUGGUUCAUCCUCUAAGCUUCACCCUGCAAUGUUUAGAAAGCUGAUCCAGGAUGAUUCCACAAGGAGAAAAAGGGCGAAGGCUUCUACACUUGGUCUGAAAUUUUGUUUUCUUGACCUUCUGCAACAGACAAUCUCCAUGUCAGUAGGGUCAAUCACAUAUCAGGACAAGUUUAAUGUAAUAAAUAGGAAUUUCCAUUAUGAAAUAGAAAGUUACAGCUGAUAUUUUGCAAACAGAUUUCUCAUUUCCUGGGCUUAUUUAUUACUUUACUUUGUUGAGAAUGCCUUUUUUCUGUGUGUGUGCAUUUUCAACUUUUCACAUGUCUCUAAGCUAUGAAUUUAGGGGGAUGAACAGUUAAUUAAGCUUGGAGGCUUUGCAGGAAUGGCCUUGAUAGCACUCGUACCAAUCUCUCCUCACAAUCUACAUUAUGAUUUAUUAAUCUGCAUAAUUUUACAUCAAAACAGUCAAAAGAGCAUCAAUUUCUUUUCCUUUUGUCAAUUAAAAAAAGAAGCAUCGAUUUAAAGUAGUCAAAAUAGUAGUAUUAUAAUUCAAAAAGAAAACACUAGUAUUAUUAUUCUAGUUAAAAGCUUGUCCCUUUUUCCUCCACUAGAUUAUUUUAGUACCAACCUAAUGCUAAUGGCCAACAAAAAGUCCAAGCACAUUAGCACAAAAGCAUUGCAUCUUCCUGUCGAUCACUCAGAAAUCCAUCAAAACAAUUAGUCUCCUCUAACCCACAAUUCAUUUCAUCCUUCUUUCCUCAUCUAUCAAAUAUUUUGAUCACUAAUCAUCGGAAAUUUGUGCUCAGUCUCAAUCUCAACUGACAACACAGUCUCUCGUUGCUGGGAUUGCAUUGCUGGACAAGCAAGUUACAUAUGUAAGCUGAUAAUUCUAAAUAAUUUAUUAUCAUUAAAUUUUUCUUAAGGAGUGUGUAUUUUUUUUAAUAUAUACUUUUUAAUACAGAAUAAAUUGAAGUUUAUAGCAACUUCAAAAAGAGCCUUUCUUAAGCUAUGAGCAUUAUUAAAGUAAGGCUUCAAAACAAAAAGAAGAAUAAGUUUCUAGCAAACACUUUAGUUGUCUAUAGUGAAAAAUAAAUUGUUGGGAAAUUUGAUUUAGAAAGGUCAAAUGCAAACAUUCAAUUUGAGACAGAGGAAGUAUAUAUUAAUAGUUUCAGUGUUUAGCAUUAAAAUUUUAACACUGAACUUUAUAUAAGACUUUAGCCUUCCCCAAACUAAAAAUCCUGUUUCUGUCCUUGUGAAGAAGUUAGCAAAACAUAAAAAUUUUAUCUCUUACUAGCUACCGUAAGGAAGAGAGAAAGAGUAGGGCUCAGGAGGUAUUCUACAUAAAGAGCCAAAAAGAUGCACAAUUGAACUAAACUGCAAGUUAAUGAAGUCAUGAAGCAUUUAAACACCACAAACUACUAAAGACAUGCAUGGACGUAGAGAGAGGUCAGCAACAAUUAGGAGCAUCAUACUACUCAAGAAUAAAUUAUCAGCUGAAUUACAAAACAAAGAGAAAGGAAUGGCAAAUGAAUGGAUAUCUGGUAAUACAGGAAAAUGGUUUAGGUGCAUAACAUAAAGUCACACCUUGCAUUGACCAUUUCGAGCACUGCACUUGUCAGCUGCUAAGCCCAAUCUCAAAAGAAAAGCUGCAGCAUCUGUGUACCUGAGGAUAACAAAACCAUAAAUAAUGCCUAUUCAUAUUAGGUUUGCUUACAUCUGCAAACAAGGUAAUUGCCUAUAAACAGAUUUUCCAAAUUUACAGGCAGUUCAACACAUACAACAGCAAUCUUAUGUGUGGUCAUGAGUCCAGCGCCAAAAUAUGGGCAUUGCUUGCAAAACCAAAAGAAAAAGGAAGUACUUACCGGACCCUAUGACUAAACAUCACAAUUCACAAGCUUCAGUCUACUCAACUUGAACUCCCUAGUUCUAGACAUGAGGAUAGCAUCUGUUGUCCUUUCAAAGCUUUCUCAUAAUCUUUUGCAACUCAAAAUUUAUUCCCUACAAGUAGCAUGAGAAUCAAUGAAGAAAGUCCCCAAAAGCAAGGCAAUUACAUAGUAGAAUCCCCAAGAAAAAAAUCCCAAUUUUUUAGAUAAAAUCUUAGAGGUUGAAUAAUGGGUAGAUAGCAUUACCAGCUUGCUCAUGCAAAACAGUAGCACUUUUCCAAUCAGCACUACACCUUGUAAGACUCAGCUUUGGUCUACACGUGCAGACAGAGUAAAAAAAAGUUGGGUGAUGCUUAUUAAUUGAUUUUGCCUCAAACCAAUUUGAUAAAUUAACAAUAAAAAGGAUGGGAAGGGAUUGUAUCGGAUAUCAAAUAAAAAAGUUCAAAUCCAAGAAUCUUAGGUUGUAAUUUACAACAAAUUCUUCUACGAAUAUAUAAGUAAGAUUUUUGCAGAAAGAGCGGAGAGAGGAGGAGGCUUACAGCUUAGCGGCAUUGGAGAUGAGCUGGUUGGCCUUGGCCCCGAUGCCCCACUUCCCCUUCUCCUGCCGAUUCCCUUAGGCAUGGGUUCUAGCAACCCCACUGCUGGAUGGCAAUGGGCCAUUUAAUCUUUGGUACCCAGUAUAUUUGGAUUUUUUUGGGAUGAAUGGGCGUUGGGAGUUUGCUAUCUCUUUUGAAUUCCAGUAAGAGAUGAGUGUCAUAGUUAUUUAUAUCAUUAUUCCUUGUAUUUUAGAACUUGUUUGUUGUUAAUUAGGAGGAAAC
rnacentral:lncRNA from 1 species